rnacentral:rRNA from 1 species
AGCAGCCGCGGUAAUUCCAGCUCCAAUAGCGUAUAUUAAAGUUGUUGCAGUUAAAAAGCUCGUAGUUGAAUUUCGGAAUCUGUCCAUCGGUCGGGCUUCACUGUCCGUACUGGUGUGGUGGGUUCUUACCUUCUGAAUAACCAGCAUGCCAUUCACUUGGUGCGUUGGGGAAGCAGGACUAUUACCUUGAAAAAAUUAGAGUGCUCAAAGCAGGCUAGUGCCUGAAUACAUUAGCAUGGAAUAAUAAAAUAGGACGGCAUGGUUCUAUUUUGUUGGUUUCUAGGAUCACCGUAAUGAUUAAUAGGGAUAGUUGGGGGCAUUAGUAUUCAAUUGUCAGAGGUGAAAUUCUUGGAUUUAUUGAAGACUAACUUCUGCGAAAGCAUUUGCCAAGGAUGUUUUCAUUAAUCAAGAACGAAAGUUAGGGGAUCGAAGACGAUCAGAUACCGUCGUAGUCUUAACCAUAAACUAUGCCGACUAGGGAUCGGACGAUGUUAAUUUUUUAAUGACUCGUUC